rnacentral:tRNA from 1 species
GCCGGGGUGGCGGAAUUGGUAUACGCGUACGUCUCAGAAGCGUAUGGCGAAAGCCUUGAGAGUUCAAAUCUCUCCUCCGGCACCA